GACGAACGCUGGCGGCGUGCUUAACACAUGCAAGUCGAACGAUGAAGCCGGAGCUUGCUCUGGUGAAUUAGUGGCGAACGGGUGAGUAACACGUGAGUAACCUGCCCUUGACUCUGGGAUAACUGCGGGAAACUGUAGCUAAUACCGGAUACGACCCUCGGAGGCAUCUCCUGGGGGUGGAAAGAAUUUCGGUCAAGGAUGGACUCGCGGCCUAUCAGCUAGUUGGUGAGGUAAGGGCUCACCAAGGCGACGACGGGUAGCCGGCCUGAGAGGGUGACCGGCCACACUGGGACUGAGACACGGCACAGACUCCUACGGGAGGCAGCAGUGGGGAAUAUUGCACAAUGGGCGCGAGCCUGAUGCAGCAACGCCGCGUGAGGGAUGACGGCCUUCGGGUUGUAAACCUCUUUUAGCAGGGAAGAAGCGAAAGUGACGGUACCUGCAGAAAAAGCACCGGCUAACUACGUGCCAGCAGCCGCAGUAA
rnacentral:rRNA from 1 species